rnacentral:rRNA from 1 species
CUACGGGAUGCUGCAGUGGGGAAUAUUGGACAAUGGGGGAAACCCUGAUCCAGCAAUGCCGCGUGUGUGAAGAAGGCCUGCGGGUUGUAAAGCACUUUCGGUUGGGAGGACUGCUUCUAGCACUAAUAUUGUUGGAAGUUGACGUUACCUUCAGAAGAGGCACCGGCUAACUCCGUGCCAGCAGCCGCGGUAAUACGGAGGGUGGCAAGCGUUAAUCGGAAUUACUGGGCGUAAAGCGCGCGUAGGCGGCUAGAUCAGUCGGGUGUGAAAGCCCCGGGCUUAACCUGGGAACUGCAUCCGAUACUGUCUAGCUUGAGUACAGGAGAGGAGAGUGGAAUUCCACAUGUAGCGGUGAAAUGCGUAGAUAUGUGGAGGAACACCAAUGGCGAAGGCAGCUCUCUGGCCUGAUACUGACGCUGAGGUGCGAAAGCGUGGGGAGCAAACAGGAUUAGAUACCCGUGUAGUC